CUAUUUAAUUAAAAAAGCAUUGUGAUGGUCCCUACGGAUGCUAACAUAAUGUGAUUUAUGCCCAAUGCUCUGCAUGCCAAAGUGAUCAGAAACUCAACCAAGCACGGAUAAACGAUGGGAGUAACUAUGACUCUCUUAAGGUAGUCAGAUGUCUCAUCAUCUAAUUAGUGACACGCAUGAAUGGAUUAACGAGAUUCCCAUUGUCCCAAGCUACUAUCUAGAGAAACCAAAACCAAGGGAACGAGCUUGGAAAAAUUAGCAGGGAAAGACGACCCGGUUGAGCUUGACUCUAGUCCAACUUUGUGAAAUGACUUGAGAGGUGUAGAAUAAGUGGUAUUUGUUUUCAGUGCAAGUGAAAUACCGCUACUUUUAACAUCAUUUUACUUAUUGUGUGGGGUAGAGACGAGGCAUUGCACAUAUGUUAAAAGAUAAUGCACAUUUCCUCGAAGUGUUGACUUUGAUGGCAAUGGUCGAAAACUCAUUCUUCACACACUUGAUUGCAAUGAGUUUAGGAAACCAAAGAGGACCAUUUCUUUUAAGGAUGAAGAAAAUUCCUAUAACAAUCCCUAUGUUUUUAGCCAACAUCCCCCUAU
rfam:Picea glauca, whole genome shotgun sequence.